rnacentral:rRNA from 1 species
UACAGAGGUCUCAAGCGUUGUUCGGAUUCAUUGGGCGUAAAGGGUGCGUAGGUGGCGGGGUAAGUCAGGUGUGAAAUCUCGGAGCUUAACUCCGAAACUGCAUUCGAUACUGCCGUGCUUGAGGACUGGAGAGGAGACUGGAAUUUACGGUGUAGCGGUGAAAUGCGUAGAUAUCGUAAGGAAGACCAGUGGCGAAGGCGGGUCUCUGGGCCAUAACUGACGCUGAGAAGCGAAAGCAUGGGGAGCGAACAGG